rnacentral:rRNA from 1 species
UACGUAGGGUGCAAGCGUUGUCCGGAAUUAUUGGGCGUAAAGAGCUCGUAGGCGGUCUGUCGCGUCUGCUGUGAAAACUCAGGGCUUAACCCUGAGCUUGCAGUGGGUACGGGCAGACUAGAGUGCGGUAGGGGAGACUGGAAUUCCUGGUGUAGCGGUGAAAUGCGCAGAUAUCAGGAGGAACACCGGUGGCGAAGGCGGGUCUCUGGGCCAAUACUGACGCUGAGGUGCGAAAGCGUGGGGAGCGAACAGG